UACGUAGGGGGCAAGCGUUGCCCGGAAUCAUUGGGCGUAAAGAGCGUGUAGGUGGCUCGGUAAGUCCGCUGUGAAAGUCCAGGGCUCAACCCUGGAAAGCCGGUGGAAACUGUCGAGCUAGAGUCCGGAAGAGGCGAGUGGAAUUCCUGGUGUAGCGGUGAAAUGCGCAGAUAUCAGGAGGAACACCAAUGGCGAAGGCAGCUCGCUGGGACGGUACUGACACUGAGACGCGAAAGCGUGGGGAGCAAACAGG
rnacentral:rRNA from 1 species